UCACAGCGUCUCCCCCGAAGGGAGGGGAGGAGAUGAAGAGGGAGUGUGGGACUCCAGAAGCCGGGGUCUGCCCGGAAUUUCAGAUGGACACCAUCUUCCCUCGCAGCCCAGCACUAAGGGCGAGAAGCCAGUGAAAGUGCCUGUUUAGAGACAGGCUCUGGACUCGGGUCUGCAGCACUAGGCAGUCAGAGAACACCAGACGCAAGCAGCACACAGGCUGCUUUCUUGUUCACAGCUGGCCUGUUGGAAAUGGAGAUCUGCCAAAGUUUUGCAAAGUACUCCUCAUCAAGAAACACAAAGGAGUGUCGCCACGUUGGGAUGUGAUGGCCAGGAUCCAAGUGCAGUGCAUGCAUACCUGAAGAUAAAACACCUGUGCUUUAGACAAUUCCAGAUAGAAAGGAUGUGGUAUGAAAGAACUGGAGAUGCACAUGAAGGAAAAUGGCGAGGGAUCUUCCAGAAAUGUGCUGAGCCCGAAGCCCCGUCCCGUGCACUAAAUACGGCACUGGUAUGCACAGGUGGCUCCUUCAAAGCCUUUUCUGUCAAAUGACACAUCGGUUUUUUGUGAACUACUGAGUGAAUAGGUUUUAAAAGAGAAUUGUUUUCAUCAAAGCUUACUUGAGUUCUUGUGAACUGGUGGCCAGCAUACUUCGGAUGCUUUUGUCAGCCAGUGGGCAGCCGGACAGACUGUAAGACAGGCCAGGGGGGCAGGUGAGUGAGCCUCCAGGCAGUGGACCCGCCCGAACGAACACAACAUACAUUUGAAAUUAAAAAGUUCAAUGCAGAAGAGCAAUGGGCAAGUGCUGUAUAUUGAAUUUUUUGCAUCAUUAAUUCUGAAUAUGAACAAAUGUAAAUUUAAGAAAAUGUUUCUGUUAAUGAUUUUUUAAAAAAAUUUGUGCUCUUAGGUUUAAAUGUUUGAGAAGAUUUUGCAAAUUUCAGUAGUUUGAGAUUAAAAGACAUUAUACAACACAUAAGUCAGCAUGCUUUUGAAGGUCAACAUAUAGCACUUAGGGGUCGACACAGAAUCAACGUUGGUACUUGACAGCAUUGUUGAGGUAAGCUGAAAACAAUAAAUUGAAGACAGAAUCCACCAUGAGAGAAUGAAGCCACACCUUCUGUGUGAGGCGUAAUUGCCAGUCACAUGACCACUCCCAUCACACCCCGGAGUUGGACAUCUGCCACCAAACAAAAACAAAACAGCCAGAACAGUAAGUACGUUUAAGAAAACUUUCAAAAAGUUUCAUUGUUUCCAGUUUAGCUGCAAUGUCUGCAAGGGGAUUUAAGCACCCUGAAGGACAGCUGGGACGUGCACAGGAUCAAAUGAGAUGACGCUUCCGUACGACAGAGCAUCAUUGAGAACCAGCAGGCACACGUCAGCCUCCCGCCCUCCUCCACUGGCAGCUGGAGACACUGUGUGCCGCGAACGUGCAUGCUCAAACGGCAAGGCGUGUACAGAUCGGUCUUUAAAAAGCCUCCUGGAAUGGGUCCAAGUCUUCUGGCUGUAGACAGAACACAGCUUCAGAGCCACAUGUGGAAACUCAGUUCAAGGAGGAAGAAGGGCCCCACGCCUGCCGGACAGCUGUUCUGCUUUCCCACCUCUCCUACCACAUAUUCAUAAUUCAAAAGCACUUUUCCCUGACAAGGCUCCUUCUGAAAAAGCAAGCUGUGCUGUGUGCAGCUGCUCUAAACCUCUGCCCUAUGGUCAGAGCCCCUUACUCAGUCUCCAAACUGGCAACAGGACCCACAGCCGGAGGCCACUUCCAAUUGACCUCUGAUCCAGCGUCCAGGGAUGCCUGCUGUCCACCACUGACACUGCACUGCAACUCAGCACUACGUCACUGGGAGCUGUUUUACAUAUAUGUGCCAUUAAGUCUCUGUCAAUGGAAGAUCAGCUGUGUUAAUGAGAUUUUAAAUUACCCUUAGGCAGCGAUCUCUGAAAGUACCUGCAUUCAGCUGUGUCCACUUGCAGUAACCUAGAAAUCCCUACAGGCGGCAGCACCAGCAGUUGGUGCCCCAAACGCACUCUGCAGAGCUGGGUUUUGUUUCUCAC